rnacentral:rRNA from 1 species
UACGUAGGGUGCGAGCGUUGUCCGGAAUUAUUGGGCGUAAAGAGCUCGUAGGCGGUGUGUCACGUCGUUCGUGAAAACCUGCAGCUUAACUGUGGGCGUGCGGUCGAUACGGGCAUCACUGGAGUUCGGCAGGGGAGACUGGAAUUCCUGGUGUAGCGGUGAAAUGCGCAGAUAUCAGGAGGAACACCAGCGGCGAAGGCGCUGCUCGUGGGCCGGUACUGACGCUGAGGAGCGAAAGCGUGGGGAGCGAACAGG